CCCGCACGCUUCCGCUAUUUAAAAUCAAACAUGUCGCUAAUUUUUUCCAGGGAAGGCAGUCCCAAAAGCUUGAAAUCCUGGUUGGGCGUCAGCGGGACGCGACGCUGAGCUGAUCGUACCGGGAGGAAAGCGCUCGUUGUGAAAGAGUGACCCCAACCGUCACGCUGGAAGGAAAUCCACGCUGCUCUCAGCCAGCGGGAGAGAGGCGAGGCGUCCGAACACCGCUGCGGGGAGAUGCGAGGCAGGGACAGAAGCGACGAGGUUUUACUGUUCAGAAGAGGCUCCAAGCAUAAUUAAAAAAAAAAAAAAAAAGAGGAAAACACUGAAAGGCACAUGGGAUAUUUUGCCAGUCCCAAAGAACCCACCCCUUCACCUGGCUUCAUGCUGCAGCCAGCGCCAGCUCAGAUGGCUACAGGUGCUGCAAUGAUGGCUGGGCACACAAAUGUUGGUGCAGAUGUUCAGGACUGCACACUAAUGCCAGAGCUGGAUCCCAUAACCCUGCUUCAUUUCAGGGGUGCCUGGCUGCAUGUUGUUUCUGUCCCAAAGUCACAUCCUUGGGGUCACACCAGGAGGCAGAUGUCAGUGCUGCCGGCCAUUGCCAUUCCUGCACCCAGGGACAGGAGGAGGCAGGGUGCUUUCCCUCAGCCCUGUUUGCAUGCUGAGGACGUGCAGAGGCAAACAUGAGCUGGGAUCCGAAGGACCCAGGUGACAGCUGCCCCUUGGAGUAGCUUCACGAGUCCUUUCAACAGCUAGCAGCCCAUAAUUACUACAUUACGCAGGUUUCAGCAGGUCUAAGAACGCUAUCCAAACACCCAGCACGUGUGGGAGCUCCAGUAUCACGCAUACAUUGUGGUGUGAAGCUUUCAGUGCCCUGUUUGGGAAAUUCCUCUGUGCAGGUAUCUCACGAAGCUUUUUAUCAGCAUUUCAAAGAAGCACAGGAAACCUGCUCAGGAAUCCCCUGCUCAGCUGUUUGAUGGGCAUUUCCUGAAGUUCUUCCUUGGGAAGUAUUUAGAUUUUUCCCAAGCUUGGUUUUUCUCAGUGCCUGCUGUCGGAGCCCCAAGGGCUGCAGGAUGCACACGAGGACACGGGCACUGGAAAUAACUGCAGACGUGGGCUCAUGAAGAAGAGGCUUUUGUUUUCCUCGUUGGCACCUGAUGCACCUG
ensembl:lncRNA